AACGAACGCUGGCGGCAUGCCUAACACAUGCAAGUCGAACGAGAUCUUCGGGUCUAGUGGCGCACGGGUGCGUAACGCGUGGGAAUCUGCCCUUUGGUUCGGAAUAACAGUUGGAAACGACUGCUAAUACCGGAUGAUGACGAAAGUCCAAAGAUUUAUCGCCAGAGGAUGAGCCCGCGUAGGAUUAGCUAGUUGGUGUGGUAAAGGCGCACCAAGGCGACGAUCCUUAGCUGGUCUGAGAGGAUGAUCAGCCACACUGGGAUUGAGACACGGCCCAGACUCCUACGGGAGGCAGCAGUGGGGAAUAUUGGACAAUGGGCGAAAGCCUGAUCCAGCAAUGCCGCGUGAGUGAUGAAGGCCUUAGGGUUGUAAAGCUCUUUCGCACGCGACGAUGAUGACGGUAGCGUGAGAAGAAGCCCCGGCUAACUAUGCGCCAGCCGCCGCCGUAA
rnacentral:rRNA from 1 species